AUUGAACGCUGGCGGCAUGCCUUACACAUGCAAGUCGAACGGCAGCACGGGGCAACCUGGUGGCGAGUGGCGAACGGGUGAGUAAUGCAUCGGAACGUACCUUUCAGUGGGGGAUAACGUAGCGAAAGUUACGCUAAUACCGCAUAUUCUGUGAGCAGGAAAGCAGGGGAUCGCAAGACCUUGCGCUGAUUGAGCGGCCGAUGUCAGAUUAGCUAGUUGGUGAGGUAAAGGCUCACCAAAGCGACGAUCUGUAGCGGGUCUGAGAGGAUGAUCCGCCACACUGGAACUGAGACACGGUCCAGACUCCUACGGGAGGCAGCAGUGGGGAAUUUUGGACAAGGGGGGCAACCCUGAUCCAGCCAUGCCGCGUGAGUGAAGAAGGCCUUCGGGUUGUAAAGCUCUUUCGGCCGGGAAGAAAUCGCACGGGCUAAUACCCUGUGUGGAUGACGGUACCGGAAUAAGAAGCACCGGCUAACUACGUGCCAGCCGCCGCUGUAAAAC
rnacentral:rRNA from 1 species